UCUGUCUGAGGACCUGAUUUACUCCAGACGUUCACAGCAGUGAUGGAUGUCUCCUUGUUGGGAGCACUGGUACCUAAACUUCUCCCAUGGCCUACAAGGGACUGAGGACGUCAUACAGCCCACUCAGAUGACUGUCCCUGUUACAGAGACGAGGAAUCCCAGGCAGAGGGGACCGCUGUCAUGUGCUCCUCAUCAGGAGAGGUGGGACUCGAGGAAGCAUUACAGCCUGUCCUCGGCCGCUGCACCAUGAUGCCUUUCCAAUAGCGGCAGCAUUCGUAAUAAUGUGAUACUGUGCAAAAUGUAGUGAAGUGAGAGAGCAUAGAGGAUUCGGGGUUAGUCAC
rnacentral:lncRNA from 1 species